GACGAACGCUGGCGGCGUGCUUAACACAUGCAAGUCGAGCGGAAAGGCCCCUUCGGGGGUACUCGAGCGGCGAACGGGUGAGUAACACGUGAGCAACCUGCCCCUGACUCUGGGAUAAGCCCGGGAAACUGGGUCUAAUACCGGAUACGACCUCUGCCUGCAUGGGUGGUGGUGGAAAGUUUUUCGGUUGGGGAUGGGCUCGCGGCCUAUCAGCUUGUUGGUGGGGUGAUGGCCUACCAAGGCGACGACGGGUAACCGGCCUGAGAGGGCGACCGGUCACACUGGGACUGAGACACGGCCCAGACUCCUACGGGAGGCAGCAGUGGGGAAUAUUGCGCAAUGGGCGGAAGCCUGACGCAGCGACGCCGCGUGGGGGAUGACGGCCUUCGGGUUGUAAACCUCUUUCAGCAGGGACGAAGCGCAAGUGACGGUACCUGCAGAAGAAGCGCCGGCCAACUACGUGCCAGCAGCCGCGGUAAGACGUAGGGCGCGAGCGUUGUCCGGAUUUAUUGGGCGUAAAGAGCUCGUAGGCGGCUUGUCGCGUCGAAUGUGAAAACCCACAGCUCAACUGUGGGCUUGCAUUCGAUACGGGCAGGCUAGAGUUCGGUAGGGGAGACUGGAAUUCCUGGUGUAGCGGUGAAAUGCGCAGAUAUCAGGAGGAACACCGGUGGCGAAGGCGGGUCUCUGGGCCGAUACUGACGCUGAGGAGCGAAAGCGUGGGGAGCGAACAGGAUUAGAUACCCUGGUAGUCCACGCUGUAAACGUUGGGCGCUAGGUGUGGGGAGC
rnacentral:rRNA from 1 species